rnacentral:lncRNA from 1 species
UUUCCAGGUUGGUGUGGUGGCAUUAUUGCAUAGAUGAGAGACCAUCCAUGAUUCAUACACAACAUCGACUGACGUGGUCUCAGAUUUGAAGCAGGAAGGGUGACCGUGUGUACAUACAGAUCAUGGACUAAGGUGUUGUCAGAUCUGCAGCAUAAAUGGGUUCCAUGGAAACGUACCUCUACGUCUAGGCAGUGGUAUAAUGGAUGGCCGACGGACAGAUGUACAAAGUUAUACAGCAGAUUUUGGAGCAAAUAGGG